rnacentral:rRNA from 1 species
UAUUGCACAAUGGGCGAAAGCCUGAUGCAGCAACGCCGCGUGAGGGAUGAAGGCCUUCGGGUUGUAAACCUCCUUUAGUGAGGAAGAAGCGAAAGUGACGGUACUCACAGAAAAAGCACCGGCUAACUACGUGCCAGCAGCCGCGGUAAUACGUAGGGUGCAAGCGUUGUCCGGAAUUAUUGGGCGUAAAGAGCUCGUAGGCGGCUUGUCACGUCUGCUGUGAAAACACGAGGCUCAACCUCGUGCUUGCAGUGGGUACGGGCAGGCUAGAGUGCGGUAGGGGAGAUUGGAAUUCCUGGUGUAGCGGUGGAAUGCGCAGAUAUCAGGAGGAACACCAAUGGCGAAGGCAGAUCUCUGGGCCGCUACUGACGCUGAGGAGCGAAAGCAUGGGGAGCGAAC